AUGUUUCCGCUGUUAUCUAAUAAACAGGUAAAACACAUUGCAGGCUAUCCUAUUAAAGAUUGUCUCAGCGAUUUAAUCAUUAGAAAGAUCUACUGUUUGAACUGGCUCACCAUGGGUACACCCUCUACACCCUCUAGCACUCAGUCAUAGGCGUUACUAAUCAUAAACUGAUGGACUUACCCCCAUUCUAAGAAUUAGGCCAGCUUAAACUUAC